AGUGAACGCUGGCGGUAGGCCUAACACAUGCAAGUCGAACGGCAGCACAGUAAGAGCUUGCUCCUACGGGUGGCGAGUGGCGGACGGGUGAGGAAUACAUCGGAAUCUACUUUUUCGUGGGGGAUAACGUAGGGAAACUUACGCUAAUACCGCAUACGACCUACGGGUGAAAGCAGGGGAUCUUCGGACCUUGCGCGAUUGAAUGAGCCGAUGUCGGAUUAGCUAGUUGGCGGGGUAAAGGCCCACCAAGGCGACGAUCCGUAGCUGGUCUGAGAGGAUGAUCAGCCACACUGGAACUGAGACACGGCCCAGACUCCUACGGGAGGCAGCAGUGGGGAAUAUUGGACAAUGGGCGCAAGCCUGAUCCAGCCAUACCGCGUGAGUGAAGAAGGCCUUCGGGUUGUAAAGCCCUGUUGUUGGGAAAGAAAAGCAGCAGGUUAAUACCCCGCUGUUCUGACGGUACCCAAAGAAUAAGCACCGGCUAACUUCGUG
rnacentral:rRNA from 1 species